CUACCAUCAAAUUCCUAUAUAUUCAUACUCAUAGCCGAAACACCAAAGGAGAAUACGAAGAGAGCUUGCGCAACCUAGGCGUUUUACUUGGAGAAUUUGGUGCCUUCCAUGUCUUCAUCAACCAGCAUGAUUCUCAAUAAGUCCAUCAUGAACUAAUUUCUUUUACUAGGGCUUCGAUGUAGCCUAGCCAUGAAUACUCAAAUUCUUUGAUAUCGUUGAUUUUAUUUAUCUAUACAUGUUGAGUGCUUGUUACCAUUCUUAAUGCUUUCAAUUAAUUGGCCACUAAUUGCAUGAUUGGAAGAAUUAGGUUGAGACCGGAAGGAGAUUCCUAGUAAAUAGCUUCUUGUAACAAGUACCAUAAAUUACAUUGCCGACUCGGAAGAUUAGGUUAUGGUUUGUGUAAUCUUCAAUGUUUUUCACAAAUCUUAAUGGGUUUUUAGCUAUCUAAAUCAAUAACUGGGAAUAGAG
rnacentral:lncRNA from 1 species